CCGGUAGGGCUGCGGUAGCAGGUUACUGUGAUAUAGUAAUGGUGGGAUUUUUCUUCGUCGGU
rnacentral:tRNA from 1 species